GAGAGCGGCGGACGGGUGAGUAAUGCCUAGGAAUCUGCCUGGUAGUGGGGGAUAACGUCCGGAAACGGACGCUAAUACCGCAUACGUCCUACGGGAGAAAGCAGGGGACCUUCGGGCCUUGCGCUAUCAGAUGAGCCUAGGUCGGAUUAGCUAGUUGGUGGGGUAAUGGCUCACCAAGGCGACGAUCCGUAACUGGUCUGAGAGGAUGAUCAGUCACACUGGAACUGAGACACGGUCCAGACUCCUACGGGUAGCAGCAGUGGGGAAUAUUGGACAAUGGGCGAAAGCCUGAUCCAGCCAUGCCGCGUGUGUGAAGAAGGUCUUCGGAUUGUAAAGCACUUUAAGUUGGGAGGAAGGGCAGUAAAUUAAUACUUUGCUGUUUUGACGUUACCGACAGAAUAAGCACCGGCUAACUCUGUGCCAGCAGCCGCGGUAAUACAGAGGGUGCAAGCGUUAAUCGGAAUUACUGGGCGUAAAGCGCGCGUAGGUGGUUCGUUAAAGUUGGAUGUGAAAAUCCCCGGGCUCAACCUGGGAAACUGCAUUCAAAACUGACGAGCUAGAGUAUGGUAGAGGGUGGUGGAAUUUCCUGUUGUAGCGGUGAAAUGCGUAGAUAUAGGAAGGAACACCAGUGGCGAAGGCGACCACCUGGACUGAUACUGACACUGA
rnacentral:rRNA from 1 species